ACGUUAGCGGCGGACGGGUGAGUAACACGUGGGUAACCUACCUAUAAGACUGGGAUAACUUCGGGAAACCGGAGCUAAUACCGGAUAAUAUUUCGAACCGCAUGGUUCGAUAGUGAAAGGUGGUUUUGCUAUCACUUAUAGAUGGACCCGCGCCGUAUUAGCUAGUUGGUAAGGUAACGGCUUACCAAGGCGACGAUACGUAGCCGACCUGAGAGGGUGAUCGGCCACACUGGAGCUGAGACNCGGUCCAGACUCCUACGGGAGGCAGCAGUC
rnacentral:rRNA from 1 species